CCAUCACCCGGGCAGCCAGGAAGAGCCUGGACUGUGAUCACCUGCCCACAUUUAGUAGGGUUGACAGCACCAGAAACAAAAUCUGGCUCAGACCAAACAUGAAGGUCUGUUACUAAUGAUGUAAUUUCCGUCAAAAUCCCCCAUUUGGGUUGCACAGACAGACUGGGUUUGACUAUAGAAUGAAGACGGAUUGUGCUGCACGUUGUCAUGGGGGGCCAUCGUGUUCUGUGUAGACCAUUGUCUUUGUUGUACAUAUGCGAUGAAGGCCUACAGAAAAUUGAUGUCACUUACUACAGCUGACUUCCCGGAUCUCACUGUGUGGAAGAUGCGACUUCUCCCAAGGCCCUGCUCAGCAUAGUCACGGUUUUGUUUAUGUUCUUAGUGUUGUUUGAUAGAUGCCACACAUGCAUAGAGGACUGGGAUGUGGCGCCCAUGACUUGGCAGGCGGGAGAAGCACACUUGAGGAGGCAGCUUUCCACUCUCCAGCUGCUGAUCCGUGCCAUCCCAGUGCCCCUGCAUCUCCCAGCGGUUCUGCACACACUGCCCACUCUCCACCUCCUGCAUCUCACUACUUACUCUCAGUAACUGGCCAUCCCUCUGCUGUCACAGAGGGAAGAGAGUCCAGAAGGUGGACUCACUUAGGUUCUCGCUGUGAAUCAGCACUCUUCAUCUGCACCUGCCUGGCUUUCCUUGCCUCCUGUUUCAGUGGAAGGGGAGUCCUUCCUCGUGUCCAAGGCCCUGAACCCCAUGCCCUUCCCUCUCACCUUCUCAAAGACUUUCUCUCUCUGACCGUGUACUUUUUAUUCCCCACUGACUUUGUCCUGCGAGCACUGAAACCUACUUAAGUCUUUCCCAUUUUAAACAACACAGGCCUUCAGUAUCACCCUGCCUUUCAUUACCUCUCCAUUCACUUCUCCUGCCAGGGCCAGCCUUUUGGAUGGAUUGUCUCUAGUUACUCCCUCCCUGUCCUCACUCCUGCCCACCCCUCAGGCUGUUCCAGUCUGGCUUUUGCACCGGUGACCAAGUGGAUUCCGCUGUAGCCAAAGCCAAUAGUCGCCCUCCUCUCUUUCCUGUGGGCCACGUUCGUCAGAUGCAUUUGGAUUCUUGUCUUCCCCAACCUCUCAGUGGUGAGCAGGCUUUGACUCGUUCUCCUCCCUGGCCUUUGAAGACUCACCCUACCCUUCUUGCUUUUCCUUCUCAUUGCCCUUUUCAGGUUCUUUCUAUCAGUCUCUAAGCUCCUUACUAAUAUUCCAGUGCCCACUGGGCAUCUGCACUUGAAUAUCUUUUUGGCACCUCAUAUCCAAGAGGUUCCAAAUUGAUCCAAAUACCCAAGCUUGAAACCUGUGACUUAUUGAUCCUUUCUCCUCACCUUCAGAAUCCAGUAAGAAGGCAAAUCUGGUCAGAAUUCUACCUAUCAACAAUUUUCAAACCCAUCUACUUUAUCUGUCAUGUCCUUCUUCUUGGUCACCAUGACCUUUUAUCUGUGUUAAUGGAUUAGCAACUCUCUCCCUGCUAAAUUUUCCCUAAUCCAUUCUCUGACUGCCU
rnacentral:lncRNA from 1 species